CCGGAAUCCUGCUGGCUGGCCAUGUCGGCGGUAUACAAAGAGGCUCCCGGGACUGGACUGGGAGCCGCUGGAGGAGCAGGUACCGGGCGUGGAGAUGUGCCUGUCACAGGAAGGGGUGCCUCAUUGUGAUCCAUACAGCCAAUGGACUGGUGGUAGCCUGGGGUGGUGUGGAAGGAACACCAAGAAAACAGAGCAUUUCAAGAAGACACAGGCCAACUGGUCACCUGUGUCCCAGCCUGCUGAGUGGCAGGGUGGGAUGAAGGUGGUGAAAGUGUGAUCACAUGUUUGCAGUUAUCUACCAACAAAGUCUGAUGGACUGGGAGUCAGGAAACUUUAUCCUGUUCCUUACUCUAACCUGAAUAUGAUGACCUUGGGCAAGUUACUUCCUACUAAAUGAGGAAAGCGGCUUCUUAUCACCAGACGGGCUCAUCUCCUGGGACAGGCCCACCUUUGAUUUCUCAUAUUAUUGGGAGGGGCCCCCACACGGGGAAAGAACAGAGCACAAUAAAUGAUUUGAUGUCAGUCUUUGGCAUUUGUUACUUCAAUCUUUUGGCAAUAGAUUCACCUUCUCAAUUCUGUUCUGAUAAAGCUAAUAUCAAAAGUACCCCCAUAUAAAGCACACGCUGCCUGUCGAGGAAGAGCAGCAGACAGGGGAGCAAAAAAUAACUGGGAAGGAGAAAGAGGUAAGUCAAAGUGAAACGGAUCAAGUUGUCUUCUGUGAAGGCAGUGAGGCAGUAUCAAAGUGCUUCCUUUGGUUUAGAGGAAAAGUGACAGUCUACCGUUGGCCAAGUCCUGGAAACCAGGGAUAUCCUGUAGCUGAAAACCAGCUCACGGUCCCGAAGAUGAAGUGCUGAGCUAAGGAAUUAGAUACAUAGAACAGCCCUUCAGGGGGCACCUGGGUGGCUCAGUGGGUUAAGCCUCUGCCUUUAGCUCAGGUCAUGAUCUCAGGGUUCUGGGAUCCAGCCCUGCAUCAGGCUCUCUGCUUAGCGGGGAGCCUGCUUCCUCCUCUCUCUCUGCCUGCCUCUCUGCCUGCUUGUGAUCUCUGUCUGUCAAAUAAAUAAAUAAAACCUUUUAUAAAAAUAAAACAAAAAACACCAGCCCUUCAGGUAAAACACAUGUUUUAAACAGAAGUGGGUCCCUCCCUGAGCAUCACUGAUUCAACCUUCACAGUGACCAUCUGCCCAGAGAUGGAUGGGAAAGACCCUCUGAUCCUGCCUUUAGAGGAGCCCAGCAACGGUGAACACAUGAUCGCCUUCUCCACCCACAGGCACCGUUCCACGUGGUAGAAAAUGUCACUCCGAAGGCCCAAGAAAAUUCUGCAGGAUAGACAAAGUCUUGCCAGGCAUGUUUUUAGAAAGGGUGGGGAAAUCACCACCCUAUUUUGAUCAGACAGGCAGAGCUUUGUGUAGGAGGGUGGGGCUGCUAGAAACUGUCUGAAGGAUGAUGGGAGGGAACAGUUUAACGGGCCGGUGGGGAGAGCGGUUCCAACUGCCCGGCUCAGCUAGGGAGCCAGAGAAAGGAUAAUGAUCUUUGCAGACGGUCAGGGUGGGUGAGGUCACUUUGAGCGGCCCAGGGAGAUAGAGGUGGAGGGUCAGGAUUCCGAUGCCCACAAUGGCAGUUGUGGGGAGACACAAGCUCCAGUCAGCCCUCACUCCACCAGGUACUGGCCUCAGCGAUCCACUCCUGUGGUCAAGGUACUCCCUUCUCGUUUAUAGGGUACAGGUGAUACUGUACCAUCUGCUAGCCACAGAAGGUUGUUUCAGGAUUUCAAAGGGGAUUCUGUAGAUGAAAGGACUUUGUAUCCCCAGCGUGUCCAUGUUAGGAUGCUCAGGGCUCCUGAAGUCUAAGGAUCACACAAAAGGGCAAGAGGUCCCCGGUCAGCUCUUCCCUCUUCCAGAAACACAUCAUCGCUUUCCAGCUAUUGUAGACUUCAGCUUCUGGACUAGGGACAUACCAGGGUUGUCCUGCUAUUUAAGUGGCCAUUUGUAAACUCCAGGAAUGUGCUGGUGGUUUGCUUGCGCCUUAUCCAAAUGCCACUUCGGUCUCUGGAUAAAUACAGGAUGGGUGGCAACCGCAGUCUGCCUACUACUCCGCCCUACCUCAAGAUUUAUUUUCCAUCUUCUUUGCUCUUCAAGGGAAUUUUUUUCUUAUCCUUUAUAAUUUUUUUUAAAUCUGUCUAUAAAUUCUCUAAUUCUCAACUGUAUAUAUUCUUUCCAUAAAUAUAGUUCAAAUUUUAUGUUCAUGAAAACAACAGGCAGCAGAAAAGAAAGGAAAGGGGACAUGGAUGUGGAUGGACCUACUUUUGAGCUGUUGGAUAACAUUUUGAGACAUUUCUGAGAGUUGAGAAAUGUAUCAGCAAGAAGGCUGGAAUGAAUCUGGAAUGAAUGAAUGAAUCUGGAAUGAAUAUAGCUCUACUCUCGACUUUGGCUUUAUACCUACUCGUACAUAUGAGGACAAUGAAAAUUAUGGGGACUCAACAGCUAGGACACGGCGGAGUAGUGAUCACAACGAUAAUGCAGAUAAUGGCUAGCUAGAUGACAGAGCCAAACUGGAGCACAGAUCUGAUGCUAGGCCAGUUAUGUCCAAUAGAAAUAUAACAUAAGCCAAAUAUGCAAUUUAAAAUUUUCUAGUAUGUACAUUUAUAAUAAUGAAAUGGGUAAAAUUAAAUAUAUUUUAUCUAACCUAAUAAAAACCCAAAUAUGAUCACUUCAACAUGCAAUAUAUGUAAAAUUAUUAGUGGGACAUGUAAUAUUCUUUUUUUUCUUGCACUAAAUAUUUGAAAUCUGGUGUAUUAUUUUACAGCACAUUUUAAAUUAGACAUCCACAUUCCCUGGGCUCAAGAGCCACAUGUGGCUAAUGGUUCCUUUAUUGGACAGUGCAGCUCUAGGAAGUUCUUAACUACUUUUGGACCCUUAUGGCAGUCUGGCAAAGCCAAUGGGCUCCUUCUCAGAACGUCAAGAAGACAAAAUGCAUGAGAUUACAACAGAAACCAGUUAUUUUGAAAUACAGUUAUCAAAUGAUUUCAAAAACCACAAAACUGUGGUUUGUAGAUACACAUUUCUUUACAUAUACAUUAAAUACAUUGAAGAACAUAACCCAGAGGUAAGCCCAGUAAUCAUAAUAAUUUUGUAAUAAAAUAAGAAACAAACAAUAUUGAAAUCUACCUAAAGCAACUAUAAUAUAAUGAAAAAAAAAUCUGUGAUUUCAAUUAGUAGUGAAGUCAAAGGUACUGCUAAUACUAUUUUUGUUGCCUAUAUUAGUAC